rnacentral:lncRNA from 1 species
GAUCAAAAUUUUACUUCAAACUUCACUAAAAUAUUAAAAAUUGAAUUUAAUAAUUAUAUAAAAAAAAUUCACUUCAAUUUAAUUGAUAGGUUGCUAAAGAUCUUAGAAACUCUCUCACCUUUAUUUCUUUAGGAUUUCUUAAGGAUUCUUUUAAGAUUUAUUAUAGAUUUCUUUUGAACUCUUUUAAGAUUUCUUAUUAUUUCUUUUGUAAUUUCUUUAAGGUUUCUUUCAAAUUUGAUUAAAGCUUCUUUAAUAUUAUUAAGGAUUUAAUUAGAAUCAUUUAAUAUUCUAUUAAAAUUAGGAUUUUAUUGUUGAAAUUUCUAUUCUAUCUUCUACAGCCAAGUAUCUAGUACAUUUUUAAGUAAGACUUCAUUUAAUACAACAAUGCUGUUUGGCUCUACAAUUAAUUUUUCCAUCUUUGAUAAUCAAAAAUAUUUCCUCUUAAACUCCCUCAAAAGCUUUGUAGCUUACAAAUUCUUAUUAGGCCCUUCAAUCUAUUCCAAAAAUGAUUUCUUGGUAAUCCAAUCAGUGAUCUCUAAAAAAUAUUUGUCCUUUAAUGUAUGUAAAAAUGUCUUCUAUGAAUUUCCAAAAUGUUCCACAAUUGAUUUAAUAUGUUUUCUUAUCUCCAAUAUUAUAACAAGUUCAAAUAGCUCAAUCAUUUUUUUUUCAAAAACUUGAUUCAAUUCCAUUUCUCAUACAUAAUAUCUCAAAUACUUUGAAAUAUGCCUUCCAUCAAAUUAGUCAAUUUUGUUAUCCAUUGCUUAUAAUACUU